AAUGAGCAGUGCAAAGUCAGAUGUCCAUGCACCUCUGAGUCUCUUUACAACUGGAGCACAACGUUUUUUAGGUGCCCCUGUUGCCUAAGAAUGACUGAUGGAAUGAAAGCAGAGCCCUUUCUUGAACAAAUUGAUGUGGUUCCCGGGAUGGUGAUAAUGUAACUAACAGAGCAAAACAGAUGGUUACCAUAUAUGGAAUA